rnacentral:lncRNA from 1 species
GAUGUGGGGCAGAGGGCUGCACUAUGGGGCAGAGAGGCCACGAUGUGGGGCAGAGUGCUGCGAUGUGGGGCAGAGGGCCGCGAUGUGGGGCAGAGGGCUGCACUAUGGGGCAGAGCAGUGCGAUGUGGGGCGGAGGCCACAUGGGGAGGUCAGCAGUGGUGUUCUGUGGUUCAGUUGUGGGGCCGAGCCCCAUAGCGCGGCAGCUGUGGGUCAGGAUGUGGGGCAGAGCCAGUGGGCUGGUCAGUGGUGGUGGUGUUUGGUUUGGAUGUGGGGCAGAGCCCCAUAGCGCGGCAGCUGUGGGUCAGGAUGUGGGGCAGACGCCGCAUGGAGCCGUCAGCGGUCGUGUUCUUAGGUUCAGUUGUGGGGCAGAGCCCCAUAGCGCGGUGGUCGUGGGUCAGGAUGUGGGGCAGAGCCAGUGGGGCAGCGUCAGCAGGACAGGUUAUGGGGCAAAGUCCGUGUGGGGCGGUGCGCGCCGGGCAGGAUGUGGGGCACGGCCCCGCAACGUGGCCACGUGUCACUGUGACGCUAUGGGGCAGAGCCCCACAUAGGGGCGGUUAUGGGGCAGAGCCCCACAUUGGGGCGGUUAUGGGGCAGAGCCCAAUACAGCAGUGGGGUCCUGCAGUUAUGGGGCAGAGCCCCACACUGGGGCACUUAUGGGGCAGAGCCCAUAGAGCGGUGGGGUCCCGUGGUCAAGUUAUGGGGCAGAGCCCCACAUGGGGGCACUUAUGGGGCAGAGCCCAUAGAGCAGUGGGGUCCUGUGGUUUUGCUAUGGGGCAGAGCAACACAUUGGGGCAGUUAUGGGGCAGAGCCCCACAUGGGGGCACUUAUGGGGCAGAGCCCAUAGAGCGGUGGGGUCCUGUGGUUUUGCUAUGGGGCAGAGCCCCACAUUGGGGCAGUUAUGGGGCAGAGCCCAUAGAGCGGUGGGGUCCCGUGGUCACGCUAUGGGGCAGAGCCCCACAUUGGGGCACUUAUGGGGCAGAGCCCAUAGAGCGGUGGG